rnacentral:lncRNA from 1 species
UGAGUCUCGAAAUUUUGCAGGCUGGGCUCAAAUUUCCUAUUCUCCUGCCUCAGCCUCCCAGAGUGCUGGGAUGACAGGUGUGCACCAUGCCCCAGUUCCAUGGCUUUCCGACGUUGCUCCAGGAUGCUGGCAUUUGGAAGCACAGUGGGAGCAGCUCUGCCCCCUAGUGGUUUCUCUGUACACUCAGGCACUCCAGUGUCUCCACAGUCCCUGAUCAGAACCCAGCCAGGACCUGACCCCGCCCAGGGGCCUGGCUCACGUCUCCAAGUGCCCCUUGCAGCACAGGCCCCGCCUUCCGGUGAUGAUGGCCCCAGUUCCACUGAGACCCUGGCUGCGGGGUCCAGAACUCUCCCGCUGGGCCGCUCCGAAGGUCUUGUACGCAGAUACCCCGGGAGGGAGACACACGCAGGACCAAGUCAUCACGGGGGUGAGGCAGCAGCUCCGGAGCUCACACACCCGUCAGAGGCGCCUCGUGAGCGGGAUCCGGGUGACAAUGAGUCACACACGCGUGAAGCUGUCCCGGGUCGCGGAGGAACAGCAAGGAGGGAAAUAAACACAUACUGUUUCAGGAGAACAAAGUCUUUGUGAAUACUCUUUUUACUUU